UCGUACAUCUCACGGAAGCGCCGUGGAAAUAAGCUUUCAGAUACUUGCUCAAUCUUUCCACAUUCAAUUGAAAUCUUCAAAAAGUUGGGAUCUUUAGGAGUGUUCUUAUAAUGAAUAUCACGGGUGUAACGAAGGAAUAAAUCACAAACAUUCUUCAAGUUUACAGAAUGUAGAAUAAUCUGGACAGCCUGACCCUUCCUUAUCUUAACAUUAGUUUGAAAAACAUCCGGGUUUCUGAAAACUGCAGCUAAUGUGGCAAUUGCCAUUACUUGUGGAAUAGCACAGAAAUUAAAUAUUUCCUGAGUCUUCAAUUGAGAAAGAUAAACGAGAGCAUCAGUAGCAUGUGUUAAAGCAUUAGCAGUCAUAUCAGAUAAACAUUCAAGAGCUUUUUCAGAGUUGUCAGGAAGACAGAGAUCACCGAAACUGGAAGUAUACUUGGACCAAAUUUCACGAGGCCAGAAAUGACGAUUAUCAUCAAAAUCCUCACGAUAAUCACGAAUGAUGUUAACUUUUUGUAAAAAGAGUCCAAGAGAAUUGGAAAUAGCUUGACUAUGAGCUAAAUCCGGAUCUUCUAGCUUAGAUUGAGCAAACAAACGAGAUAGUCCAAUUCCCACCAAUCCGGCAACAUAAUGACAAUAUUUGUUAAAGUCUUCUAUAGUUUCUACAGAGAAUCCGUCAUUUUUUUCGGCAAGAGAGGCAUAAUAAGCCAUACCAUCACCCAUUUCCUUAGUAAUGUUCGAAAUAACAUUACGAUAACCCUCUGACAGGUUAAGAUAUUCUUUUAUAACCACGUCGAAUUCUACGAGAAGCUGACGAUCCUUUUCGUUAGGACCAGAUUCAUUAAACGUCCACCCUUCGACUUCAAUUGUUUUAUAAAAAUCUCUUAGGAUUGGAAGCUUUUUAUCCAAAGGCAACGUCAUGUCAUCCUCUACUGUAUCCAGUCCACGAAGGACAAGAUAAAAAAUCAUAACAGCCUCUCUAAUACCAUUUGGCAAUUCUUUAAUAACGACUGCAAAGGAUCUCGAGGUCAUAUCGAGUAAUUGGUAACAACGGCGGAUGUUUUGAGGCACAUUUUCGUCUUCUCCAUAAGAAGGAAGGUCAUUCCAAAGCUUGUACUGACAAAGGCACCGGAUUUCUUCAAUGCGGUUAGCUAAACUCAUUAUAUAAAACGCAGAUUAAAUGGUGUAGUUGGAAGGCUAAGUGAAGACGUGCUUGAGAUAUUGAUACCACUUCGUUGGAGUUUGUUACGGUCAGUUGAUCAGCAGCCCAAGUGUCAAGCGGUAUCGAACUUUCAGGUUUAUUUUAGUAGAGUACUCUUUG